GUUGUGUAAGUACGUACAUAUGCACACCGAGGUAAAGGAAUUCUUGAACCAACAAAAUAGACUUUGUUGGAGUCCAUUAACUUCAAUCUAGUAUCCCUUAUUUGUUCCGAAUACGAUGACUUCAAUACAACUAUUCCAGUUUAGUUAUUUUGG